GAUGAAGAACGCAGCGAAAUGCGAUAAGUAAUGUGAAUUGCAGAAUUCAGUGAAUCAUCGAAUCUUUGAACGCACAUUGCGCCCGCCAGUAUUCUGGCGGGCAUGCCUGUUCGAGCGUCAUUACAACCCUCAGGCCCCCGGGCCUGGCGUUGGGGAUCGGCGGAGCCCCCCGUGGGCACACGCCGUCCCCCAAAUACAGUGGCGGUCCUGCCGCAGCUUCCAUCGCGUAGUAGCUAACACCUCGCGACUGGAGAGCGGCGCGGCCACGCCGUAAAACACCCAACUCUUCUGAAGUUGACCUCGAAUCAGGUAGGAAUACCCGCUGAACUUAAGCAUAUCAAUAAGCGGAGGA
rnacentral:misc_RNA from 1 species